UGGUAGCGGGAAGUGGAAUCGAACCACUGACCUCAGGCUUAUGAGUCCUGCGCUCUAACCGACUGAGCUACCCCGCC
rnacentral:tRNA from 1 species